rnacentral:tRNA from 1 species
GCCGAGGUGGCGAAAUUGGCAUACGCGCGAGAUUUAGGAUCUCGUAGUUGAAAAACUGUGCGGGUUCGAAUCCCGCCCUCGGCACCU